GACGUAGGGGACGAGCGUUGUCCGGAUUCAUUGGGCGUAAAGCGCGCGUAGGCGGUUCGGUAAGUCGGGUGUGAAAACACGAGGCUCAACCUCGUGCGUGCAUCCGAUACUGCCGGACUAGAGGUAGGUAGGGGAGAUCGGAAUUCCUGGUGUAGCGGUGAAAUGCGCAGAUAUCAGGAGGAACACCGGUGGCGAAGGCGGGUCUCUGGGCCGAUACUGACGCUGAGGAGCGAAAGCGUGGGGAGCGAACAGG
rnacentral:rRNA from 1 species